GGGGAAGGGUAGCUUGCUACCUGACCUAGCGGCGGACGGGUGAGUAAUGCUUAGGAAUCUGCCUAUUAGUGGGGGACAACAUUCCGAAAGGAAUGCUAAUACCGCAUACGCCCUACGGGGGAAAGCAGGGGAUCUUCGGACCUUGCGCUAAUAGAUGAGCCUAAGUCAGAUUAGCUAGUUGGUGGGGUAAAGGCCUACCAAGGCGACGAUCUGUAGCGGGUCUGAGAGGAUGAUCCGCCACACUGGGACUGAGACACGGCCCAGACUCCUACGGGAGGCAGCAGUGGGCAAUAUUGGACAAUGGGCGAAAGCCUGAUCCAGCCAUGCCGCGUGUGUGAAGAAGGCCUUUUGGUUGUAAAGCACUUUAAGCGAGGAGGAGGCUACUGAGAUUAAUACUCUUGGAUAGUGGACGUUACUCGCAGAAUAAGCACCGGCUAACUCUGUGCCAGCAGCCGCGGUAAUACAGAGGGUGCGAGCGUUAAUCGGAUUUACUGGGCGUA
rnacentral:rRNA from 1 species